AGAGAUGUGUGAUGACGCAUAUCAAUAAGCGGAGGAAAAGAAACUAACUAGGAUUCCCUUAGUAACGGCGAGUGAAGCGGGAAGAGCUCAAAUUUGAAAUCUUCAAGGUUUCUACCUUGACGAAUUGUAGUUUAAAGAAGUGUUUUCUGUUGGAGUUUUGGUAAAAGUUCUUUGGAAUAGGACAUCAUAGAGGGUGAGAAUCCCGUAUUUGACCAUUCUUUCCAGCUGUGUGAUACACUUUCGAAGAGUCGGAUUGUUUGGGAAUGCAGGUCCAAAAUGGGUGGUGAAAUUUCAUCUAAAGCUAAAUAUUGGCGAGAGACCGAUAGCGAACAAGUACCGUGAGGGAAAGAUGAAAAGAACUUUGAAAAGAGAGUUAAACAGUACGUGAAAUUGUCAAAAGGGAAGCGUUUGACACCAGUGUUGUUUUCUCGAAAAUCAAUUAAUGAUGACCUGAUGUUAGUGUUGUAAUUGACUUUAUCAGCUUACUGUCUACGUUUUUCUUGUCCUUUGUGAAUGCACUUUUCGUUUAACAAGUCAACAUCAAUUUCUUUUGUUGUAAAAGAGGUCAGAUGGAAGGUGGCUUUCAGCUUCGGUGAAAGUGUUUAUAGCCUUUUACCUUCUGCAGUCGGAGAGAUUGAGGUCUGCAGCGUAGACUCUUCGGGGUUAGAUACAUUUGUGCUAAGUUAUAGCUUUUCAUAGACAACUUGUUGACUAUGUUAAGUCUUGUAGCUUACUCGCUUAUGCUAUUUUACCUACGCUUAGGAUGUUGAACUACUGAGACAUAGA
rnacentral:rRNA from 1 species